rnacentral:rRNA from 1 species
UACGGAGGGUGCAAGCGUUGUCCGGAAUCACUGGGCGUAAAGGGCGCGUAGGCGGCUCAUGAAGGCUGUGGUGAAAGUCCGGGGCUCAACCUCGGAUCGGCCGUGGCGACUCGUGGGCUGGAGCACUGUAGAGGCGGGUGGAAUUCCGGGUGUAGCGGUGGAAUGCGUAGAGAUCCGGAAGAACACCGGUGGCGAAGGCGGCCUGCUGGGCUACUGCUGACACUGAGGCGCGACAGCGUGGGGAGCAAACAGG